UACAGAGGUCUCAAGCGUUGUUCGGAAUUACUGGGCGUAAAGGGUGCGUAGGUGGCGUGGAAAGUCAGAUGUGAAAUCCGGGGGCUCAACCUCCGAAUAGCAUCCGAUACUCCCAUGCUAGAGAACUGGAGGGGGAUCUGGAAUUCUCGGUGUAGCAGUGAAAUGCGUAGAUAUCGAGAGGAACACUAGUGGCGAAGGCGAAAUCCUGGACAGUUUCUGACACUGAUGCACGAAGGCCAGGGUAGCGAACGGG
rnacentral:rRNA from 1 species